rnacentral:SRP_RNA from 1 species
GCCAGGCAUGGUGGCGGGUGCCUGUAAUCCCAGCUACUCGGGAGGCUGAGGCAGGAGAAUCGCUUGAACCCAGAAGAUGGAGGUUGCAGUGAGCGCAGAUUAUGCCACUGCACUCCAGCAUGGGUGACAGAGUGAGACUCUGCCUCAC